UUCCUGUAAAGAUCCAGAAUAGAUGCAUUUUUCUUAUAUCAUUUCUCCUGGCUUACAAUGACCAACUUUUUAUAUGAUCUCAACCAGCCAAAACCAAGAAUUGAUUACACUCUGAAGGCUGUCGGUGGAAGCUUAACAGCGAUUCCUGGACUAUCUGAUAUGAUUGAUGUAAGUUCCUCUCUUGGUAGGUCAAGCAGUUUCAAGAGGUUUUAUUUGUUCCCAUUUGGUCUUAUACACAGCUUUUUUGCUUCUAUCUCUGUUAGGAUACUGUUGAUACGAUCGUCAAAGACAUGCUUCAGUGGCCUCAUAGAAUUGUUGUUCCCAUUGGUGGUAUUCCUGUUGAUUUAAGGUACUCAUGUGUUCUGCUUGUUUUUCAUUUGCCUUUUUUCACUCAUAAAUAUUUUGCCUGCCAUUGCCACUCUUUUGUCUUUUCUCCUCUUCUGAUAUAGUCAUAGGAUUGACUUGGGAAGGUCAUGAUACGUAUUGAGAAAACACUAUAUAAUUUGACGAUUCUCUUUAUUUUUCUUCUUUUUCAGUGAUUUGGAGCUUAAACCACAGGGAAAGCUUAUAGUAACAGUAGUGAAAGCAACUAACUUGAAGAAUAAGGAAUUGAUUGGAAAAUCUGACCCUUAUGCUACCAUCCACAUUCGUCCUGUAUUCAAGUAUAAAACAAAGGCAAUCGAGAACAAUCUGAAUCCUGUUUGGGAUCAAACAUUCGAAUUGAUUGCAGAGGACAAAGAAACUCAGUCCCUCACUGUAGAGGUCUAGAAUCUGAAACAUUUAUGCUUCUUACUUGUUCAACUUUGCCAUUGCAAACAUUAACUAAUUCUCUUCGUUCCAUUAAAACUUUUGGCAGGUAUUUGAUAAAGACGUAGGCCAAGAUGAGCGUCUGGGACUUGUGAAACUUCCCUUAAGCAGUUUGGAAGCCGGAGUAACAAAAGAACUGGAGCUAAAUCUGUUGUCUUCACUUGAUACUUUGAAAGUAAAAGAUAAGAAAGAUAGAGGAAGUAUAACUCUUAAGGUAUAGAUGUUCCCUUGAAUAAACGCAAAACUUUUCCUUUUCGCUGUUCCUAAAUUAACUUGAAUUGAAGGUACAUUAUCAUGAGUUCAACAAAGAGGAGCAAUUGGCUGCAUUAGAAGAGGAGAAGAAGAUCAUGGAAGAAAGGAAGAGACUGAAGGAAGCAGGAGUGAUAGGUAGCA
rnacentral:lncRNA from 1 species